rnacentral:rRNA from 1 species
UACGAAGGGGGCUAGCGUUGCUCGGAAUCACUGGGCGUAAAGGGCGCGUAGGCGGACUUUUAAGUCGGGGGUGAAAGCCCAGGGCUCAACCCUGGAAUUGCCUUCGAUACUGAGAGUCUUGAGUUCGGAAGAGGUUGGUGGAACUGCGAGUGUAGAAGUGAAAUUCGUAGAUAUUCGCAAGAACACCAGUGGCGAAGGCGGCCAACUGGUCCGAUACUGACGCUGAGGCGCGAAAGCGUGGGGAGCAAACAGG